rnacentral:rRNA from 1 species
GAUGAACGCUGGCGGCGUGCCUAAUACAUGCAAGUCGAGCGAACAGAUAAGGAGCUUGCUCCUUUGACGUUAGCGGCGGACGGGUGAGUAACACGUGGGUAACCUACCUAUAAGACUGGGAUAACUUCGGGAAACCGGAGCUAAUACCGGAUAAUAUUUCUAACCGCAUGGUUCGAUAGUGAAAGAUGGUUUUGCUAUCACUUAUAGAUGGACCCGCGCCGUAUUAGCUAGUUGGUAAGGUGAUGGCUUA